UAAGGAAUAUUGGUCAAUGGACGCAAGUCUGAACCAGCCAUGCCGCGUGAAGGAUGAAGGUCCUCUGGAUUGUAAACUUCUUUUAUCUGGGACGAAAACGGGAUUUUUAUCUCAAUUGACGGUACCAGAGGAAUAAGCACCGGCUAACUCCGUGCCAGCAGCCGCGGUAAUACGGAGGGUGCGAGCGUUAUCCGGAUUUACUGGGUUUAAAGGGUGCGUAGGUGGGCUUAUAAGUCAGUGGUGAAAUCUCCGAGCUUAACUUGGAAACUGCCGUUGAUACUAUAGGUCUUGAAUUAUCUGGAGGUUAGCGGAAUAUGUCAUGUAGCGGUGAAAUGCUUAGAUAUGACAUAGAACACCAAUUGUGAAGGCAGCUUACUACAUAUAAAUUGACGCUGAGGCACGAAAGCGUGGGGAUCAAACA
rnacentral:rRNA from 1 species